AACGUAGGUGGCAAGCGUUAUCCGGAUUUACUGGGCGUAAAGGGUGUGCAGGCGGGGUUGCAAGUGGGGUGUGAAAUCUCCCGGCUUAACCGGGAGGGGUUAUGCCAGACUGCAAUUCUAGAGGACGAGAGAGGGGGGUGGAAUUCCGGGUGUAGUGGUGAAAUGCGUAGAGAUCGGGAAGAACACCAGUGGCGAAAGCGCUCUGCUGGACCUGCACUGACACUGAGGGACGAAAGCUAGGGGAGCGAAUGGG
rnacentral:rRNA from 1 species